rnacentral:rRNA from 1 species
UACGUAGGGGGCAAGCGUUGUCCGGAAUUAUUGGGCGUAAAGCGCGCGCAGGCGGCGGCUUAAGUCUGGAGUUUAAGCCCGGGGCUCAACCCCGGUUCGCUCGGGAAACUGGGUCGCUUGAGUGCAGGAGAGGGAAGCGGAAUUCCACGUGUAGCGGUGAAAUGCGUAGAGAUGUGGAGGAACACCAGUGGCGAAGGCGGCUUCCUGGCCUGUAACUGACGCUGAGGCGCGAAAGCGUGGGGAGCAAACAGG